AUGACGAUGGUCCUGGAUGCCUUUGCAUGCUACGUGCAAAACAUGCUCACGGAGAUGGUGAAGGAAGAGGUGUACAUGCUGCUUGGAGUCGGGGACGAGAUUGAGCAGAUGCAUGUCAAGCUAAGGGACAUAAAGAACUUCCUUGCUGACGCUGACAAGAGAAACAUCACUGACAAUAGCGUGCAAGAGUGGGUGGCCCAGCUCAAGCGUGCCAUGUACGAAGCUGCUGACAUCCUCGACCUAUGCCAGCUCAAGGCCAUGGAGCGCGGUCGGUCCACUAAAGAUGUGGGGUGCUUCAUCCCCUUGCUCUUCUGCAUGCGGAAUCCCUCCCAUGCCCACGACAUCGGCACACGCAUCAAGGCACUUAACAAGAGGCUCAACACCAUCAAGGAGAGAAGUGCUGCUUUCAGGUUCAUCAAUCUUGGUUCCCGUGAGGAUCAUGGCAGCAAGAUGCACAACUCACAUUCUGUUAAUACCAGGCGUGAGAUGUCAGGGGAGUUUGACCGGUCGGGUGUAGUUGGAGAGAAGAUCGAACAAGACACUAGAAAGCUGGUUGAGAUCAUGCUGAGUGAAAAGGAGGGCAGCACCAACAUCAUGGUGGUCGCCAUUGUUGGCGUCGGUGGGAUUGGUAAGACCACUCUUGCCCAGAAGGUCUUCAACGACGAAACCGUGAAUGCCGAGUUCGAGAAGACCAUAUGGUUGAGCAUCAACCAGAACUUUGAUGAGGUUGAGCUGCUUAGGACAGUCAUCACGCUCACCGGGGGAGUACACAGAGGUGAAAAGGCGUUGGCUGCGCUUCAUCCAAUCCUUAAGACUGCCUUGACAGGAAAGAAGCUAUUGCUAGUGCUGGAUGAUGUGUGGAACCAGGGAGCAUGGAGUGAUGUGCUUAAAACAUCAGUGGCUAAUGUCGUGGCUCGAGGUAGCCGGGUACUUGUCACUACUAGAGAUGAAAGAAUAGCUCGAGGGAUGAAGGCUGUGCUUCCCUACCAUCAUGUGGACAAAUUAGAGGCGAAGGAUGCCUGGUCAUUGCUCAAGAAACAGAUAAUCUCAAGUGAGACAGAUGAACGUGAAAUUGAUAUGCUCAAGGAUAUUGGAAUGCAAAUUGUAGAAAAAUGUGCUGGUUUGCCUCUUGCUGUCAAAAUAAUGGGAGGACUCUUGUGUCAGAGGGACAGAAAACACCGUGAGUGGGAGAUGGUUUUGGACAAUUCUAUAUGGUCGAUAUCUGCAAUGCCCGAAGAGCUAAACAAUGCAGUAUAUUUAAGCUAUGAAGAUUUAUCUUCUUGUGCCAAACAAUGUUUUCUGCACUACUCCCUUCUCCCUAAAACUGCAGUGUUUGUUAGCAAUGAAAUCAUUGGCAUGUGGAUUAGUGAAGGAUUCCUGCAUGGGACCUCGGACGACUCGGAAGAACUAGGAAGCAAGUACUAUAAGGAGCUGAUACUGAGGAAUCUUAUAGAGCCAAAUACAAAGUAUGUUGAUCAAUCUGUCUGCGACAUGCAUGAUGUUGUACGCUCAUUUGCUCAAUUUGUGGCUAGAGAUGAGGCACUAGCAGGUCAUGGUGGAGAAACUAAUAUUGUUAGUAAACUUGGUGCACAUGAGUUUCUUCGGUUAUCUUUAGAAUCAGAUGGGUUAGCCUGGAGUUCUUUGCAAGCACAAAAAACAUUAAGGGCACUGAUAUCAGUUGGCUAUAUAAAUAUCAAGCCUGGUGAUUCGCUGGUUCAUUUUCCAUGUCUACGAACUUUACAUAUAUGCUCUGCAGAUGUCGUAGCAUUGCUUGAAUCUUUGCAUGAACUCAAGCACCUGAGGUACUUAUCCUUGGAAAACACUGAUAUAUCUAGUCUGCCUGAUAGCAUUGGAAUGAUAAAAUUCUUGCAGUACAUUAGCCUUGAUGGAUGCGAACAAUUUGUGAAAGUUCCACAUAGCAUUUUGAAGUUAGGUCAGCUAAGGCAUCUUAACUUUAAUAUGACUAGUAUAGAAGGCAUACCUAGGGGGUUUUGUGCUCUAACAAACUUGAGGGCAUUAAAAGGGUUUCCAGCCCAAGUGGAUGGUGAUUGGUGCAGUUUGGAAGAGUUGGGCCCUCUUUCUCAUCUCAGGGAACUUGGAAUACAUGGACUGGAGAAUGUAAUUUUGUCCUCGUCUACAACAAAGGCAAAGCUUGGCGAUAAGGUGCAUCUUACCUCCCUAUUCUUAAGUUGUGGUCCGAAUAGUAUAUUAGCAAAUGGUGACCUGAUUAAAGACGGAGAUAGUGUCUCUGAGGAAGAACAACAACAAAUCGAGAAGGUGUUUGAUGAGCUCUGCCCUCCGCCCAGGUUAGAAAAUCUUGACAUCAAAGGAUAUUAUGGUCGAUGGCUCCCAAGGUGGAUGAUGUCAUCAUCAGUUGUGCCCCUCAAGAGCUUGAGGUUUCUGUUCAUUACUGAUGUAUUAUGCAGACAACUUCCUGAUGGCUUGUCUCAGCUCCCUUAUUUGGAGUUUAUUCAGAUCUACCGUGCUCCAGCCAUCAAGCGCAUUGGACCUGAUUUCCUGCAGUCCUACCAUCACCAUAGUGCUAGCUCCUCCCAAAUGGUGGCUGGGUUUCCGAAGUUGCGUGAGAUGAAUUUAAUAGGAUGGUGGGAUGGGAGGAGUGGCAGUGGGAGGAGCAAGUGCAAGCCUUUCCUGUCUUGCAGGAACUUUUUCUAA
rnacentral:rRNA from 1 species